UACGGAGGGGGCUAGCGUUGUUCGGAAUUACUGGGCGUAAAGCGCACGUAGGCGGAUUGUUAAGUCGGGGGUGAAAUCCCGGGGCUCAACCCCGGAACUGCCUUCGAUAGUGGCAGUCGAGAGGUCUGGAGAGGUGUGUAGAAUUCCGAGUGUAGAGGUGAAAUUCGUAGAUAUUCGGAGGAACACCCGUGGCGAAUGCGGCUCACUGGCCAGAUACUGACGCUGAGGUGCGAAAGCGUGGGGAGCAGACACU
rnacentral:rRNA from 1 species